CAAGUUCUAAGUACAUCAGGAUUUCUUCAGUGAAUUAAAAUGAACACAGGUGGAGAUGGAGUGAUGGAGGGACGCCAGAGGAAGAUUCUCAAUGAAGCACUGUGGUGGACUUUUGGUGGAGGAACUAAACUCACGAUCAGAACUGGUCCCGCAGUGAAGCCCUCCGUGUCUCUGCUGCCUCCCUCUUCUCUGCAGAUCUCUGGAGACUCAGCCGCACUGCUCUGCCUGCUCAGCUCUUACUCUCCACAGGGGGCGCAGGUGAGCUGGACGCUGGACGGGUCAGAGGUCACCGAGGGGGUUCAGACCAGCGCAGAGAGCGAGCGGGACGGACGCUACAGCCGCAGCAGCGUCCUGAGCCUCAGCAAAGCACGCUGGGAAGACGCACAGCUUCGUCUGCAGAGUAACACAUGACGGAGCUGCUCAAGAGACCUCGUUCCUCAAGAGCUCCGAGUGCUGAUGUUUCUCCAGUGAAGAGCAGCAGGAUUCACAGCAGUCACGUGAUUUACAGCUCAAUACUCAAGCAGUCUUUCAAUCUGCUGCCAUUGCUGUUCAUUCAAUAAAGCUUCUGAACGCCUUA